AGCUGCAGCUGCUUCACUUGAUUGGAAGGCCAGGGAGCCAGCUUCUGCCUGGCCUGGCUCAACAGGAUACCGACACAGCCCCAUGGUUUCUGCACUAGGGGAGGGGUAAUUCCCCUCAAGCAGAUGAGGGUACUCUGACCAGGAAGAUGGGGACGCAAAACAACAGAUGCCUCCUACGCCCGCAUCUCCCGUGAGUGCAUCAUAACACCCAAUUUCCUGUGAGCAGCUGUGGAGAUGUUAUAGGAGAGGUGGAGAGAAUAAGCAUUCCAACAAGACCUCUGGUACUAACAUAGAUACUUGUCCUCAAAGGAACCCACAGUCAUCUUGUUCUUGUUGUUGGAUUUGGCCACCUUGUGACAUAUAGCACUUUCCUAUGACCAUUUAAAUGUUUCCACUGAAGCGGGAUCUUAAUCUGGCCUCGCCUAAUAUCUUGGCACCCCUCAGGGGAUAUCCCACCACAUCAAUAAUGGAGUUAAAUAUCAAAGUCACACAAGUCACAGGGGAAGAGUGAUGGCUCGCUAUGGUAGCUACCAGUUUCAGGAAAAGUGAUUACAAGCUAUCACCAGGCACCCCUGUUAAGGGCCUUAAUCAAGAAAUCCAGGCUGCUGGAAAGCUGAGAAACAAAGGGAAGAGACAUAUUGGCUAAAGCUGAUUUAAAGACAGAGCUGUGCAACCCCAGGCAGAACACCGGCUCACAUCCUUCGAAUGGUCAAGUGUCCUGUUUCAGGACGGCUUCACAGCUUGUUUGUCCCUCCUCCACACCACAUUUGCAAGGGACAGCCCUGACGCUGUGACGCCAGUCCUUUUCCUCCUUUUUACAAAAGUUUAAACAAAUCUGAGCUCAUACAGUAUUUACAGAAUAUCUUCUUCCCUUCACAGUGUAUCUAUAACAUAUUUUGGGGUCAUCGUGUAUUUUUUAUUGUCCAUGUAGAGUCUCAUGGUAAAUAAAUAGGUAUCAUAAUGUAACCAACCUGUUCUCUAUUUGGAGGCAUUUACAUUCUUGACUGUAUUGCCUUUGCAG
ensembl:lncRNA